UACGUAGGGUCCGAGCGUUGUCCGGAUUUAUUGGGCGUAAAGAGCUCGUAGGCGGCUCAGUAAGUCAGAUGUGAAAACUCAGGGCUCAACCCGGAGACGCCACCCGAUACUGCUGUGACUUGAGUUCGGUAGGGGAGCGGGGAAUUCCUGGUGUAGCGGUGAAAUGCGCAGAUAUCAGGAGGAACACCAGUGGCGAAGGCGCCGCUCUGGGCCGAGACUGACGCUGAGGAGCGAAAGCGUGGGUAGCAAACAGG
rnacentral:rRNA from 1 species